rnacentral:misc_RNA from 1 species
CCUAAAUAUUUGAAAAUGGAAAAGUAAAUAUGACAUAUCAGAUCCAAUACAUCUUAUCAUUCAGUGUUUUGUCAUAAAUAGUGAAGCUAUUAGAAUCUUGCUAAUUGCAUUUUAUUGCAUUCAUUAAAAUUCUGACCUAUAUGAAAAAGGAUCUUAAAUAAGUGAAAUUUACUGCCCCCUUACUAGGUCUCUGCAUUUGCUUGUUUCCGUAACUGCCAUUAUUGUACUCAAACCUAUCCCUUAAUUGGCAUGAUAUCUUAUACUAUUUAACUUCUGUUACAGCUUGGUUACACCAAAAAGCAG